GUCAAAACAGAACACAGGUAAGAGAGCAACUGGAAAAGAAAGACGCUGAUAAAAUCAGCAGCAAGGAGAGAGAUGUUCACACAGGCCAGAAUAAACUCGAAGGAGGGAACACUUUGUAGCGGUGGCACCUGGUCGGGAGACCCAAGCUCCAGUUUAGACAGGAAAAGGGAGCAGAGCCUUUGGGCCAGCCACUCUCUCACCAACAGCCUUGAUUCCAUCGCGUGUUAUUUUAAACAAUGGCAACACACUGGAUCCAUGGUUUUGGUUUUGCUCUCCUUGCUGUUCUGCUCGAGACCCGAAUUUGAGAAUAUUGCUUCCAAAACAGCCACGAUUUUUGGAUUUCCCUGGUGGUCCAGUGGUUAAGAAUCUGCCUGCCCAUGUAGGGGACACAGCUUUGAUCCCUGGUUGGGAAAGAUUCCACAUGCUUCAGAGCAACUAAACUGGUAAGCCACAGCUACUGAAGCCUGCCUGACCUAGAGCCUGUUUGCUGUCAGCAAAAGCGUCUGUAGUGAGAAGCUCCUGCACCACAACACAGAGCCUGGCUCCCUGCAACCAGAGAAAGCCCUCAGGUAGCAAGGAAGACCAAGCACAGCCAAAAAUAAAAAUAAAUUUAAAAAUAUAUAUAUUUUUAAA
ensembl:lncRNA